AGCGGCGCGCUCGGUCGAGCGGGCCGCGGCCACUUGGGCGGUGCGCUCCCUUGUGUGGACUGGGAGGUCGGGCACGUCCUACCGCAGCAACGUCCGCCGCGCCGCCGUUCUCUCGUCGCUUCGUUAGCCAUUUUCUUGCAACGUCUUGAGUCUUGAGCAACAACGAUGUGCGGGCACUGAAUGACAUAGUGCGCGCGUUACUCAACACAAACCGAGGGGGCGCGUGCGCGCGCUGAACCUCUCAAGGAAAUACUUUAUCAGUUCUGCUGAAUAAUCGAAAAAUUGUCGCCGGUGUGCACCAACGAACUAGGUUCCCCGAGUUCCAUUCAAAAGACCUCAAAGCAGUUCUAGGGCUGUUAGUCCAAAGAAUAGGAAGGGCUGGCCUUUGACACAUGGCUCAUUGGCUGUCUCAGGAGAAAACAUCAUCGCCCUGCCCAUGGCAGCUUAGGUUAUUCUAGGGCUGCCCUUCCUCACUUGAAAAACAGGAAAACUUCUUUCUUGUUGGCCUCAGGUUUGCUAUCCUCCCCGGUAGACCUGAUGGCUCAACACGAAAUUGUUCAAUGAAAGAGAAAACUAGCUUAUAAGUACUUGUUGCCGUUAUCAUAUACUGUGUUCACUAUUUUGCCCCCCAAAAUUUGGGAUUCCAAGAACAGUGAGCAUCUUCUUAUGGAGGAUCGGCCUGUACAAAUUACAUUGGGAUUACUACUUUACACCAAAUAUGAAAAAAAAUAUCCAUGUGGAUUGGAGACAUGAAUAUGAGGCAAAACAAUAAUACCACUAGUGUUCAGUGUGCAAGUAUAAAAUGGGAAAUGUUAGCG
rnacentral:lncRNA from 1 species